rnacentral:rRNA from 1 species
CCUGGUAGCGGGGGAGUAACUAUUGGAAACGAAUAGCUAAUACCGCAUAAUAUUGAUUAUUGCAUGAUAAUUGAUUGAAAGAUGCUAUUGCAUCACUACCAGAUGGACCUGCGUUGUAUUAGCUAGUAGGUGAGGUAACGGCUCACCUAGGCGACGAUACAUAGCCGACCUGAGAGGGUGAUCGGCCACACUGGGACUGAGACACGGCCCAG